rnacentral:rRNA from 1 species
ACGGGUGAGUAACACGUGGGCAACCUGCCCUUGAGACUGGGAUAACUUCGGGAAACCGGAGCUAAUACCGGAUAAUAUAAGGAACCUCCUGGUUCCUUGUUGAAAGAUGGUUUCGGCUAUCACUUAAGGAUGGGCCCGCGGCGCAUUAGCUAGUUGGUGAGGUAACGGCUCACCAAGGCGACGAUGCGUAGCCGACCUGAGAGGGUGAUCGGCCACACUGGGACUGAGACACGGCCCAGACUCCUACGGGAGGCAGCAGUAGGGAUCUUCCACAAUGGACGAAAGUCUGAUGGAGCAACGCCGCGUGAGUGAUGAAGGCCUUCGGGUCGUGAAGCUCUGUUGUUAGGGAAGAACAAGUGCGAGAGUAACUGUUCGCACCUUGACGGUACCUAACCAGAAAGCCACGGCUAACUACGUGCCAGCAGCCGCGGUAAUACGUAGGUGGCAAGCGUUAUCCGGAAUUAUUGGGCGUAAAGCGCGCGCAGGUGGUUUCUUAAGUCUGAUGUGAAAGCCCACGGCUCAACCGUGGAGGGUCAUUGGAAACUGGGGAACUUGAGUGCAGAAGAGGAAAGUGGAAUUCCAA